GCACUUCCGUAUACUCAUAAAGCUUAGUAAAAGAUUUUCUGGAGAAGAGGAGUUAGUUAGAUGAAGGCUAGGCAUUCUAGGACUCUCUAGCUAGCUAGUAUAGCUAUGUAGCUGGAUUGCUUGGCAUCUAGGAAGGAUCUUCUGAGAAAUAAAAAGACAAAGACUCCCGUCGCUCCAAUGGUCCGCGUUGCGAGUGUCGGAGGCCUGAGAAACAAUAGUCUAUUGGCUAGAAUGUAGUUAUGGAGGGUUUAUGAAGACAAGUGGCACGGGAUACAUACAUCCAAAGAAACAAGAGUGGAUCUACGCCAAGCUAGCUAGCUAGAUAACUGCUCUUUCUAAUGAAUUUCUGUUGCUAAAUUAUGUUUGUUAAGAAGUGGAGCUAUAAUUAUACCUGGCUCCUCUUGAUGAUUGUAAGUACUGGGCUGAUGAAAUAGUCCUGUACAAGUUGUAAUCUUUUUUUGUUAAAAAUAAUUAAUAAUAAUAGGGAAAUUCCCAGGGAAUUUCCCCUCACGUAGACAGUAAAUUUCAUUGUAAAAAAUGAACGUUCGGUGA